UGAGCACAGUCCUGCAACCCUGCACGUUGGAGAGCGCGGGCAUAGCGCCACCCCCCCGUCUCCAAAACGUUGUCGUGAUCUACUCUUCUUCCUCUUGGGCGUUUUGGUUCUGUAGGUGCGCGCCAUACACCCUCUUGUCCGACGGUCGCCUCUGUCCCGUUUCUGGUUUGUCCGUGCACCAGAGAGGCUAGAGAGAGGAGUGUGUGGGUCUGCAUGUAAAGGUAUACAUGCAUGCAUGUGCUUGUGUGCGUGCAUCUGCAUAUCUCACCCUGUUUCACGUGCACUCCAUUAACCGGCGUGACGACCUCCCGCUCUUCCUUCACACAGACACACAUGUACAUCCAGACCGUCACACAGCACCUUUCUGUCCUUCCCGGGUAUCUUCAUUUGCUCUUCCCCUUCCCCUUUCUCUCCCUAUGCGCGCUGGCCGAUGAUACGUUGCGGUGCGGAACCUUUCACGCCCACUCCUUCCUUCCUCGCUUUCUGCCUCUCUCCCUCAAG
rnacentral:misc_RNA from 1 species